rnacentral:lncRNA from 1 species
CUCUCUGUAAAAUGGACCAAUCAGCAGGAUGUGGGUGGGGCUAGAUAAGAGAAUAAAAGCAGGCUGCCCGAGCCAGCAGUGGCAACCCCCCUUGGGUCCCGUUCCACGCUGUGGGAGGUUUGUUCAUUUGCUCUUUGCAAUAAAGCUUGCUGCUGCUCACUCUUUGGGUCCAGACUGUCUUUAUGAGCUGUAACACUCACCGGGAAGGUCUGCAGCUUCACUCCUGAAGCCAAGGAGACCACGAACCCACCGGGAGGAAGGAACAACUACAGACACGCCGGCUUAAGGGCUGUAACACUCACUGCGAAGGUCCGCAGCUUCACUCUUGAGCCAGCGAGACCACGAACCCACCAGAAGGAAGAAACUCCAAACACAUCCGAACAUCAGAAGGAAAAAACUGCAGACACGCCGCCUUUAAGAACUGCAACACCGCGAGGGUCCGCGGCUUCAUUCUUGAAGUCAGUGAGACCAAGAACCCACCAAUUCCAGACACGCUACCAAAGGCAGAGGGGAGCUCCUAGACAAAGAUAUUUUGCUUACAAAUGGAACACAUCAAAUCAAGCUUUUGUGAACUUGAGGGAAGAAACAAAGAAUAUGAAGCCUAAAUGGAAGUGUCAGGAAAUGGUCGCCUUGCGGACAAGGAAACAGCAGCCUGGAAGGCCAGGAGAGGGCAGACUACCCACCUAA